rnacentral:rRNA from 1 species
GUGAACGCUGGCGGUAGGCCUAACACAUGCAAGUCGAACGGCAGCACAGUAAGAGCUUGCUCUUACGGGUGGCGAGUGGCGGACGGGUGAGGAAUACAUCGGAAUCUACUUUUUCGUGGGGGAUAACGUAGGGAAACUUACGCUAAUACCGCAUACGACCUACGGGUGAAAGCAGGGGAUCUUCGGACCUUGCGCGAUUGAAUGAGCCGAUGUCGGAUUAGCUAGUUGGCGGGGUAAAGGCCCACCAAGGCGACGAUCCGUAGCUGGUCUGAGAGGAUGAUCAGCCACACUGGAACUGAGACACGGUCCAGACUCCUACGGGAGGCAGCAGUGGGGAAUAUUGGACAAUGGGCGCAAGCCUGAUCCAGCCAUACCGCGUGGGUGAAGAAGGCCUUCGGGUUGCAAAGCCCUUUUGUUGGGAAAGAAAAGCAGCAGGUUAAUACCCCGCUGUUCUGACGGUACCCAAAGAAUAAGCACCGGCUAACUUCGUG